rnacentral:rRNA from 1 species
AAGACCUUGCACUUUUGGAGCGGCCGAUGUCUGAUUAGCUAGUUGGUGGGGUAAUGGCCUACCAAAGCUUCGAUCAGUAGCUGGUCUGAGAGGACGGCCAGCCACACUGGGACUGAGACACGGCCCAGACUCCUACGGGAGGCAGCAGUGGGGAAUUUUGGACAAUGGGCGCAAGCCUGARCCAGCCAUGCCGCGUGAGUGAAGAAGGCCUUCGGGUUGUAAAGCUCUUUCAGCCGGGAAGAAAAGGUUGCGACUAAUAAUCGCAAUUCAUGACGGUACCGAAAGAAGAAGCACCGGCUAACUACGUGCCAGCAGCCGCGGUAAUACGUAGGGUGCGAGCGUUAAUCGGAAUUACUGGGCGUAAAGGGUGCGCAGGCGGUUUUGUAAGUCAGAUGUGAAAUCCCCGGGCUUAACCUGGGAACU